GUGAUCAGACUACACUGAAACACUUACUGUGUGUGCUAGUCAACAUGUAACUGUAAUCCUGUGCUUCAGAUGGCGCCACAUUAUAGUGAUGCCGAGCAAAGAGUCACUUUAAAAAUAGAAAGACGCACACUUUGUGAGCCACCAAUCACAGAUGUGGAUGAAACUCUCAGAAACCUCUCUUUACUGUCAGCUGACUUCAGCACAGACAGAAGGAGCUGCACCAGUGCCAAAGGAGCCUCAAAUGGCCCACAGCUCAACAGACACAAAGACACAUAACAAACAACAUGCGGGAGAUUGCCUUGUCAAUACUGAUUCUUGGAGAGAUUCUGCAGGUGUCACUAGAGCUCAUCCACCCGGGGAAAAUCGCAGCCAACAAAGAAGUGGUCCAAGAAGGCGAGACGGUCACCCUGAAAUGUCUGCUCACUGCUUAUCACCGCAGACAACACGAGCAGUACAGGGUCUACCUGCUGCAGAACGGGCGACAGGUCCAGCAUGACAUGGGCUCUAGCAGUCUGGGUGGUGCCAAUUUCAAGAUAGAACAAGUCACCUUGGAGAAGGCUGGACGUUACGAAUGUGUCUACAGCCAGGAGAGUGUGGAGCUGCUGCAAGGGGCAGCCGGGAGCAAUUCAGUAAACCUCGAGGUGAAAGAGCUGCACAGUUUUCUCACCCUAAAGGAAGAAAAACAUAAAACACCCCGAGGCCUGGAUGCCAUCUUUAAAUGCAUCAUACCCCAUGAGAAAAGAGAAAUUAUAUUAACAAAGCCCGAUGGGGGCUAUUUUGAACUUUACCGGGAUAAGGUGCUACUAUCCCGACAGCAGAUGCAGAGCAUACCGGCCGUAAAUUUCUACUUUAAAAACAUUACCCAAACUUUUGUGGGCUCCUAUGAAUGCGUUUACAGAACUGACAGCAACUUCACUAGGAGGAGUCGGCCCGUCUUCUUCACUUACGCAGAAGCAGAGAAUGUAACCGAAAGCAACACCUCAGGAGAAACAAGCUCAGGAUAUGCAACAUUCUUUCCCUACCUAGAUUAACCACACAUUCAACAUUAAUUUCCGCAAGCUCACUUCAGUUUAUGGGACAGAUUUAGCCAUUACGUGUGUGAACAGCCAUAAACAAUCCAGACUCGUGCAUCACCUUCCCAGCAGUACCUUUGAGCUUUACAGGAACGGAGGGCUGGUUUCUUCACAGGCUACUGGAAACUCCUCAACCGGCAUCUUCUACUUGAAAAACAUCAACCAAAGCCACAGUGGAAAUUAUCAAUGUGCUUACAGAGAAACUCCAGGCCUGAGCCAACGGAGUCCCUCAAUUUAUUUUGAAAUCACAGAAUCCUAUCUUCUAGGAAAUGUAAUCCGGCUGGUCUUCACUGGUCUGGCACUCAUUCUGAUGCUUUGCUUCGUGGUUGAAGCUUUC